rnacentral:rRNA from 1 species
UACAGAGGGGGCAAGCGUUGUUCGGAAUUACUGGGCGUAAAGGGCGCGUAGGCGGCCUGUUAAGUCGAACGUGAAAUCCCUGGGCUCAACCCAGGAACUGCGUCCGAUACUGGCAGGCUUGAAUCCGGGAGAGGGAUGUGGAAUUCCAGGUGUAGCGGUGAAAUGCGUAGAUAUCUGGAGGAACACCGGUGGCGAAGGCGGGUCUCUGGGCAACAACUGACGCUGAGGAGCGAAAGCGUGGGGAGCGAACAGG